GAGUGAUGAAGGCUUUCGGGUCGUAAAACUCUGUCCUCAAGGAAGAUAAUGACGGUACUUGAGGAGGAAGCCCCGGCUAACUACGUGCCAGCAGCCGCGGUAAUACGUAGGGGGCUAGCGUUAUCCGGAUUUACUGGGCGUAAAGGGUGCGUAGGCGGUCUUUCAAGUCAGGAGUGAAAGGCUACGGCUCAACCGUAGUAAGCUCUUGAAACUGGGAGACUUGAGUGCAGGAGAGGAGAGUGGAAUUCCUAGUGUAGCGGUGAAAUGCGUAGAUAUUAGGAGGAACACCAGUUGCGAAGGCGGCUCUCUGGACUGUAACUGACGCUGAGGCACGAAAGCGUGGGGAGCAAACAGGAUUAGAUACCCUGGUAGUCCACGCUGUAAACGAUGAGUACUAGGUGUCGGGGGUUACCCCC
rnacentral:rRNA from 1 species